GUUAAGCGACUAAGCGUACACGGUGGAUGCCCUGGCAGUCAGAGGCGAUGAAGGACGUGCUAAUCUGCGAUAAGCGUCGGUAAGGUGAUAUGAACCGUUAUAACCGGCGAUUUCCGAAUGGGGAAACCCAGUGUGAUUCGUCACACUAUCAUUAACUGAAUCCAUAGGUUAAUGAGGCGAACCGGGGGAACUGAAACAUCUAAGUACCCCGAGGAAAAGAAAUCAACCGAGAUUCCCCCAGUAGCGGCGAGCGAACGGGGAGCAGCCCAGAGCCUGAAUCAGUGUGUGUGUUAGUGGAAGCGUCUGGAAAGGCGCGCGAUACAGGGUGACAGCCCCGUACACAAAAAUGCACAUGCUGUGAGCUCGAUGAGUAGGGCGGGACACGUGGUAUCCUGUCUGAAUAUGGGGGGACCAUCCUCCAAGGCUAAAUACUCCUGACUGACCGAUAGUGAACCAGUACCGUGAGGGAAAGGCGAAAAGAACCCCGGCGAGGGGAGUGAAAAAGAACCUGAAACCGUGUACGUACAAGCAGUGGGAGCACGCUUAGGCGUGUGACUGCGUACCUUUUGUAUAAUGGGUCAGCGACUUAUAUUCUGUAGCAAGGUUAACCGAAUAGGGGAGCCGAAGGGAAACCGAGUCUUAACUGGGCGUUAAGUUGCAGGGUAUAGACCCGAAACCCGGUGAUCUAGCCAUGGGCAGGUUGAAGGUUGGGUAACACUAACUGGAGGACCGAACCGACUAAUGUUGAAAAAUUAGCGGAUGACUUGUGGCUGGGGGUGAAAGGCCAAUCAAACCGGGAGAUAGCUGGUUCUCCCCGAAAGCUAUUUAGGUAGCGCCUCGUGAAUUCAUCUCCGGGGGUAGAGCACUGUUUCGGCAAGGGGGUCAUCCCGACUUACCAACCCGAUGCAAACUGCGAAUACCGGAGAAUGUUAUCACGGGAGACACACGGCGGGUGCUAACGUCCGUCGUGAAGAGGGAAACAACCCAGACCGCCAGCUAAGGUCCCAAAGUCAUGGUUAAGUGGGAAACGAUGUGGGAAGGCCCAGACAGCCAGGAUGUUGGCUUAGAAGCAGCCAUCAUUUAAAGAAAGCGUAAUAGCUCACUGGUCGAGUCGGCCUGCGCGGAAGAUGUAACGGGGCUAAACCAUGCACCGAAGCUGCGGCAGCGACGCUGAUGCGUUGUUGGGUAGGGGAGCGUUCUGUAAGCCUGUGAAGGUGUGCUGUGAGGCAUGCUGGAGGUAUCAGAAGUGCGAAUGCUGACAUAAGUAACGAUAAAGCGGGUGAAAAGCCCGCUCGCCGGAAGACCAAGGGUUCCUGUCCAACGUUAAUCGGGGCAGGGUGAGUCGACCCCUAAGGCGAGGCCGAAAGGCGUAGUCGAUGGGAAACAGGUUAAUAUUCCUGUACUUGGUGUUACUGCGAAGGGGGGACGGAGAAGGCUAUGUUGGCCGGGCGACGGUUGUCCCGGUUUAAGCGUGUAGGCUGGUUUUCCAGGCAAAUCCGGAAAAUCAAGGCUGAGGCGUGAUGACGAGGCACUACGGUGCUGAAGCAACAAAUGCCCUGCUUCCAGGAAAAGCCUCUAAGCAUCAGGUAACAUCAAAUCGUACCCCAAACCGACACAGGUGGUCAGGUAGAGAAUACCAAGGCGCUUGAGAGAACUCGGGUGAAGGAACUAGGCAAAAUGGUGCCGUAACUUCGGGAGAAGGCACGCUGAUAUGUAGGUGAAGCGACUUGCUCGUGGAGCUGAAAUCAGUCGAAGAUACCAGCUGGCUGCAACUGUUUAUUAAAAACACAGCACUGUGCAAACACGAAAGUGGACGUAUACGGUGUGACGCCUGCCCGGUGCCGGAAGGUUAAUUGAUGGGGUCAGCGCAAGCGAAGCUCUUGAUCGAAGCCCCGGUAAACGGCGGCCGUAACUAUAACGGUCCUAAGGUAGCGAAAUUCCUUGUCGGGUAAGUUCCGACCUGCACGAAUGGCGUAAUGAUGGCCAGGCUGUCUCCACCCGAGACUCAGUGAAAUUGAACUCGCUGUGAAGAUGCAGUGUACCCGCGGCAAGACGGAAAGACCCCGUGAACCUUUACUAUAGCUUGACACUGAACAUUGAGCCUUGAUGUGUAGGAUAGGUGGGAGGCUUUGAAGUGUGG
rnacentral:rRNA from 1 species